rnacentral:rRNA from 1 species
AGCGAACGCUGGCGGCAGGCCUAACACAUGCAAGUCGAACGGACCUUUCGGGGUUAGUGGCGGACGGGUGAGUAACACGUGGGAACGUGCCUUUAGGUUCGGAAUAGCUCCUGGAAACGGGUGGUAAUGCCGAAUGUGCCCUUAGGGGGAAAGAUUUAUCGCCUUUAGAGCGGCCCGCGUCUGAUUAGCUAGUUGGUGAGGUAAUGGCUCACCAAGGCUACGAUCAGUAGCUGGUCUGAGAGGAUGACCAGCCACAUUGGGACUGAGACACGGCCCAAACUCCUACGGGAGGCAGCAGGGGGGAAUCUUGCGAAAUGGGCGAAAGCCUGACGCAGCCUUGCCGCGUGGAUGAUGAAGGUCUUAGGAUUGUAAAAUCCUUUCACCGGUGAAGAUAAUGACUGUAGCCGGAGAAGAAGCCCCGGCUAACUUCGUGCCAGCCGCCGCCGUAA